rnacentral:rRNA from 1 species
AUGUUUGCCCCGGUUUGUUUCUUGCAUAUGCAUGUUAUGCUUGCUCCUCUUAUCGGGUUGUUGGCACAUUGUUUCCCUAUGAAGAUACUAAGCUGGAACGUCCGUGGCCUCAGCGAUGACGACAAGUGCUCGCUUGUUCAUGACGCCAUAACCUCUUGCUAUCCUAGUGUUGUAUGCUUGCAGGAGACCAAGCUGGACUCCCUCACGCUGUUCAAACUGAGAUCUUUUCUGCCCACAAGGUUCACAAAUCAUGCUAUUACUCCCUCUGAUGGUGCAUUAGGGGGGAUUCUGGUGGCCUGGGACUCCUCCUACGCCACCGCUCAAGUUGUUGACACGCACAAGUAUCACAUAAUUAUCAGACUGAGCUCUACGACAACCAACUGCAGCCUCUUGCUUACUUCUGUCUAUGCACCUUGCUUGAAUACUGAGCAGAGAACUUUCUUUGAUGCAGUUUCUCAGGUAGCAGCCGACACUGACACGCCAUAG